rnacentral:rRNA from 1 species
UACGAAGGGGGCGAGCGUUGUUCGGAAUUACUGGGCGUAAAGGGCGCGUAGGCGGCGACCCAAGUCAGAUGUGAAAGUCCUGGGCUUAACCUGGGGACUGCAUUUGAUACUGGGUUGCUUGAAUUCGGGAGAGGAUAGCGGAAUUCCCAGUGUAGAGGUGAAAUUCGUAGAUAUUGGGAAGAACACCGGUGGCGAAGGCGGC